AUGGUUCUCCACUGGUUCCUUGUGGCCAUCCUGGCCCCUGUGGGCCAGGCCCUUCAGCAAUCGCCAGACACAGUUGUCCGAGUGGGAGACUCUGUGACUCUCAGCUGUUCCCAAGAGGGGAAUUUAUUCUCCAGCAUGUACUGGUACAAGCUGCCCAUGGGGAAGGAUGCCACUCUGCAGUUGGUUGUAUACUCAGUGGAAGGUGGCGUGGCAGAGUUUGAGAAGGAAUUCAGAAACCACUUCCAGAGUAAUGGCACUAAGGGCAACCACUUAUCUGUGAAGAUAGCUCAUGCCCUACUCAAUGACUCAGGCACAUAUUUCUGUGCUGAGCAAGAUUCACAAGGCACUGGGGGAAUAACAAAACUGACUUUCGGCGAUGGCACAAAACUUACAGUAAUAGGGAAGAAUGAUAAAAUCAUACCUCCAGCUGUGGCCAUCUUUUCCCCAUCAAAGCAAGAGAUCCAACAGAAGAGCAAGGCCACGCUGGUAUGCCUGGCCUCUGGUUUCUACCCUGACCACCUAAAUCUGGUCUGGAAGGUGAAUGGUGCUAAAAGGACAGAAGGGGUGGGGACAGAUGAGUUUUCCACAUGGAAUGGGAGUACCUACUCAUUGACCAGCCGACUGAGGAUCUCAGCCCAGGAAUGGUUCAACCCUUUAAAUCGUUUUGAGUGUGUUGCCAAUUUUUUUGAGAAUGGAACCCUGGAAUCAAUACACAAAUUACUCUACGGUGAUGCUGGUUGUGCACUCACGGAAGAGUCCUACUUGUGGUAUGGAAAUUCUCUGAAGCUCACUUACCUCAUUCUCUGUGGCAAAGCCUUGCUCUAUGCAGUUUUGGUGAGCAGUCUGGUGUGGACAGCCAAGGCUGGUGGCAAGUUGUAUAGAGAAUAAAUCAAGAGUCCUCUUCAUCACAUCAGCAGGAACACAGCAAAUUAUACUUUCUACCUUUCCAUAGCAAAGGAUUUAUGCUUCUGUCUAUGAACUUCUGAAUAUUAUUUCUUGGUGACUCUCUGUCCCUCUCCUGCUCUUUCCACUUUGUUGUAAUCACUGUUGGGUGUUCCCUGUACUUCCA